CGGGGUGGAGUAACGCGUGGGUAACCUGCCUCAUACAGGGGGAUAACAGUUAGAAAUGACUGCUAAUACCGCAUAAGCGCACAGGGUCGCAUGACCUGGUGUGAAAAACUCCGGUGGUAUGAGAUGGACCCGCGUCUGAUUAGCUAGUUGGCGAGGUAACGGCCCACCAAGGCGACGAUCAGUAGCCGACCUGAGAGGGUGAUCGGCCACAUUGGGACUGAGACACGGCCCAA
rnacentral:rRNA from 1 species